GAAGCUAGAUUUUCAGUUGGCUUAAUUUAUGGGCCAAGUCUGAUCUGGCGCAAUGCAAGUCCAGCUGUCGAUGUUCUUUGUCAUCCAGCUCAUAGGCCAUGCCAUUUUGCAAGCAUGAAAGAUGGGGCCCGGGGCAACCCGAAUACCUCUCUUUUGUUCCGCACUCCUUCAUCACCACAGCAACAAACGGGGACUCUAAACACAGUGCAGUCAGCAGCAGAAGCAAGGCUGGCACCGAAUGGGGAGCAAAAGAAGCAACAUCAGUGACUCCUAUCCUGGGUUCUACAAGAGAGGAUCCACCUUUGUGCAAGCCAACAUCUUUGCAACACCACUGAGCCCCACUAUGCAGCAGCAAUUACAGCAUCAGAGCUACAGAUGAACAUGGACUACUUGUUGUUGGUUCUGAGUCUGGGAAGGGAUCUUUGCCAGCUGCAGCUGCUGGAAGGUACAGCGACUUGGCAUGGUUUGGGAACUGAUGGAUCAUCUGGCUUUGGAGCCAAGGAAGCUUGGACGCUCUCAUCCACGGCCUCUGGUUCCAGGAGUCGUCAGAAGGCCUCCAG